AACGAACGCUGGCGGCAUGCCUAACACAUGCAAGUCGAACGAGACCUUCGGGUCUAGUGGCGCACGGGUGCGUAACGCGUGGGAACCUGCCCUUAGGUUCGGAAUAACUCCCCGAAAGGGGUGCUAAUACCGGAUAAUGUCUUCGGACCAAAGAUUUAUCGCCUUUGGAUGGGCCCGCGUUGGAUUAGCUAGUUGGUAGGGUAAAAGCCUACCAAGGCGACGAUCCAUAGCUGGUCUGAGAGGAUGCUCAGCCACACUGGGACUGCGACACGGCCCAGACUCCUACGGGAGGCAGCAGUGGGGAAUAUUGGACGAUGGGCGAAAGCCUGAUCCAGCAAUGCCGCGUGAGUGAUGAAGGCCUUAGGGUUGUAAAGCUCUUUUACCCGGGAUGAUAAUGACAGUACCGGGAGAAUAAGCUCCGGCUAACUCCGUG
rnacentral:rRNA from 1 species